rnacentral:rRNA from 1 species
UGGGGAAUCUUGCGCAAUGGGCGAAAGCCUGACGCAGCAACGCCGCGUGCGGGAAGAAGGCUUUCGGGCUGUAAACCGCUUUCAGCAGGAACGAAAAUGACGGUACCUGCAGAAGAAGGAGCGGCCAACUAUGUG